rnacentral:rRNA from 1 species
CCUAGGGGAGGCAGCAGUGGGGGAAUCUUGCGCAAUGGGCGAAAGCCUGACGCAGCCAUGCCGCGUGAAUGAUGAAGGUCUUAGGAUUGUAAAAUUCUUUCAACCGGGGACGAUAAUGACGGUACCCGGAGAAGAAGCCCCGGCUAACUUCGUGCCAGCAGCCGCGGUAAUACGAAGGGGGGCUAGCGUUGCUCGGAAUUACUGGGCGUAAAGGGAGCGUAGGCGGAUAGUUUAGUCAGAGGUGAAAGCCCAGGGCUCAACCUUGGAAUUGCCUUUGAUACUGGCUAUCUUGAGUGUGGGAGAGGUUAGCGGAACUCCGAGUGUAGAGGUGAAAUUCGUAGAUAUUCGGAAGAACACCAAGUGGCGAAGGCGGCUAACUGGCCCAUUACUGACGCUGAGGCUCGAAAGCGUGGGGAGCAAACAGGAUUAGAUACCCUGGUAGUCCACGCCGUAAACGAUGAGUGCUAGUUGUCGGCAUGCAUGCAUGUCGGUGACGCAGCUAACGCAUUAAGCACUCCGCCUUGGGGGAGGUACGGUCGCAGAUAAACUUAAAGUAAGUAGACG